GGGUUGUGAGGUUAAGCGACUAAGCGUACACGGUGGAUGCCCUGGCAGUCAGAGGCGAUGAAGGACGUGCUAAUCUGCGAUAAGCGUCGGUAAGGUGAUAUGAACCGUUAUAACCGGCGAUUUCCGAAUGGGGAAACCCAGUGUGAUUCGUCACACUAUCAUUAACUGAAUCCAUAGGUUAAUGAGGCGAACCGGGGGAACUGAAACAUCUAAGUACCCCGAGGAAAAGAAAUCAACCGAGAUUCCCCCAGUAGCGGCGAGCGAACGGGGAGCAGCCCAGAGCCUGAAUCAGUGUGUGUGUUAGUGGAAGCGUCUGGAAAGGCGUGCGAUACAGGGUGACAGCCCCGUACACAAAAAUGCACAUACUGUGAGCUCGAUGAGUAGGGCGGGACACGUGGUAUCCUGUCUGAAUAUGGGGGGACCAUCCUCCAAGGCUAAAUACUCCUGACUGACCGAUAGUGAACCAGUACCGUGAGGGAAAGGCGAAAAGAACCCCGGCGAGGGGAGUGAAAAAGAACCUGAAACCGUGUACGUACAAGCAGUGGGAGCACGCUUAGGCGUGUGACUGCGUACCUUUUGUAUAAUGGGUCAGCGACUUAUAUUCUGUAGCAAGGUUAACCGAAUAGGGGAGCCGAAGGGAAACCGAGUCUUAACUGGGCGUUAAGUUGCAGGGUAUAGACCCGAAACCCGGUGAUCUAGCCAUGGGCAGGUUGAAGGUUGGGUAACACUAACUGGAGGACCGAACCGACUAAUGUUGAAAAAUUAGCGGAUGACUUGUGGCUGGGGGUGAAAGGCCAAUCAAACCGGGAGAUAGCUGGUUCUCCCCGAAAGCUAUUUAGGUAGCGCCUCGUGAAUUCAUCUCCGGGGGUAGAGCACUGUUUCGGCAAGGGGGUCAUCCCGACUUACCAACCCGAUGCAAACUGCGAAUACCGGAGAAUGUUAUCACGGGAGACACACGGCGGGUGCUAACGUCCGUCGUGAAGAGGGAAACAACCCAGACCGCCAGCUAAGGUCCCAAAGUCAUGGUUAAGUGGGAAACGAUGUGGGAAGGCCCAGACAGCCAGGAUGUUGGCUUAGAAGCAGCCAUCAUUUAAAGAAAGCGUAAUAGCUCACUGGUCGAGUCGGCCUGCGCGGAAGAUGUAACGGGGCUAAACCAUGCACCGAAGCUGCGGCAGCGACGCUUAUGCGUUGUUGGGUAGGGGAGCGUUCUGUAAGCCUGUGAAGGUGUGCUGUGAGGUAUGCUGGAGGUAUCAGAAGUGCGAAUGCUGACAUAAGUAACGAUAAAGCGGGUGAAAAGCCCGCUCGCCGGAAGACCAAGGGUUCCUGUCCAACGUUAAUCGGGGCAGGGUGAGUCGACCCCUAAGGCGAGGCCGAAAGGCGUAGUCGAUGGGAAACAGGUUAAUAUUCCUGUACUUGGUGUUACUGCGAAGGGGGGACGGAGAAGGCUAUGUUGGCCGGGCGACGGUUGUCCCGGUUUAAGCGUGUAGGCUGGUUUUCCAGGCAAAUCCGGAAAAUCAAGGCCGAGGCGUGAUGACGAGGCACUACGGUGCUGAAGCAACAAAUGCCCUGCUUCCAGGAAAAGCCUCUAAGCAUCAGGUAACAUCAAAUCGUACCCCAAACCGACACAGGUGGUCAGGUAGAGAAUACCAAGGCGCUUGAGAGAACUCGGGUGAAGGAACUAGGCAAAAUGGUGCCGUAACUUCGGGAGAAGGCACGCUGAUACGUAGGUGAAGCGACUUGCUCGUGGAGCUGAAAUCAGUCGAAGAUACCAGCUGGCUGCAACUGUUUAUUAAAAACACAGCACUGUGCAAACACGAAAGUGGACGUAUACGGUGUGACGCCUGCCCGGUGCCGGAAGGUUAAUUGAUGGGGUUAGCGCAAGCGAAGCUCUUGAUCGAAGCCCCGGUAAACGGCGGCCGUAACUAUAACGGUCCUAAGGUAGCGAAAUUCCUUGUCGGGUAAGUUCCGACCUGCACGAAUGGCGUAAUGAUGGCCAGGCUGUCUCCACCCGAGACUCAGUGAAAUUGAACUCGCUGUGAAGAUGCAGUGUACCCGCGGCAAGACGGAAAGACCCCGUGAACCUUUACUAUAGCUUGACACUGAACAUUGAGCCUUGAUGUGUAGGAUAGGUGGGAGGCUUUGAAGUGUGGACGCCAGUCUGCAUGGAGCCGACCUUGAAAUACCACCCUUUAAUGUUUGAUGUUCUAACGUGGACCCGUGAUCCGGGUUGCGGACAGUGUCUGGUGGGUAGUUUGACUGGGGCGGUCUCCUCCUAAAGAGUAACGGAGGAGCACGAAGGUUGGCUAAUCCUGGUCGGACAUCAGGAGGUUAGUGCAAUGGCAUAAGCCAGCUUGACUGCGAGCGUGACGGCGCGAGCAGGUGCGAAAGCAGGUCAUAGUGAUCCGGUGGUUCUGAAUGGAAGGGCCAUCGCUCAACGGAUAAAAGGUACUCCGGGGAUAACAGGCUGAUACCGCCCAAGAGUUCAUAUCGACGGCGGUGUUUGGCACCUCGAUGUCGGCUCAUCACAUCCUGGGGCUGAAGUAGGUCCCAAGGGUAUGGCUGUUCGCCAUUUAAAGUGGUACGCGAGCUGGGUUUAGAACGUCGUGAGACAGUUCGGUCCCUAUCUGCCGUGGGCGCUGGAGAACUGAGGGGGGCUGCUCCUAGUACGAGAGGACCGGAGUGGACGCAUCACUGGUGUUCGGGUUGUCAUGCCAAUGGCACUGCCCGGUAGCUAAAUGCGGAAGAGAUAAGUGCUGAAAGCAUCUAAGCACGAAACUUGCCCCGAGAUGAGUUCUCCCUGACCCUUUAAGGGUCCUGAAGGAACGUUGAAGACGACGACGUUGAUAGGCCGGGUGUGUAA
rnacentral:rRNA from 1 species